UACUACAAAUUCAAAGUACAAAAGAAAAAUAAAACCUGGGUUGCCUCCCAAUAGUGCUUUUUUUAUGUCACUAGCUUGACCCGGUAGAGUUCAAACACCCAUCAGUAGGUGUUGAUACUCCCCUUGCUUGAUAUUAUUUUAUUUUUCUUCUUCCUGCUGAAUUUCUUCAUAAAGUUGAGAACACCAAGCACAUGUUUCCAUGUUUCAACCAUAGGAACUUUCAUCUCCAAUUUCUUGAAGAUCUCCAUAAAGCACUUGACCUUCUUUUCCUUCCUAUGAUACUUUUUUGAAUGAGGAAGGGGUUUUUCAUAUGAUCUUUUCUUCUUUCCUCUCAUCCUCUUUUUCUCACUUUUCUCCUCCCUCACCUUUCUCUUUUUCGUUUUUCUUUCUUUCUUUAUUUUCACAAUUUUUCUCUUUUUUCUUUUCUCUCAACCACUACUUUUUCCUUAUCAUCAUUUUUAUCCCCCUCACUCAACUUUUCUUCUUCCUCUCCAUCUCUCUCUAUCUCUAUUUUCUUCUCAUCAACAACCUUAUCACUUUCAGAGAUAGUGGCUUGACAUUCCUCCCUAGGGUUAACUUUAGUACUAACCCUAGAAUCAUUCAGAGAUGCAGUCACGCAAUCUAAUUUUAUCUCCUUCCUUUUACAUCUUGCGUCAUCACAUUCUGAAAAGUAAAUAAUAUUCUGCAGUACUUGUUGGAAUGUCUCUUCAUGACUUUCUGAUGGAGAUAAUUGCUGUCAAUGUUGUUUAUUUUCCUCCAGCCAACGUUGUUCAGCUUCCC
rnacentral:lncRNA from 1 species